UGACGCCCCCAAAUCCGGGUACUUGAAACUCGAACUCGGUGCUUCACGAUACCAUUUCUAUAAGCUGAAUCAUACAAUAGUAAUGUUACAUUCAAACUUAAUUUACAUACAUCAGAGUUUACUUCCCAGGUACGAGACCUUCAAAUACAUUCCUUACAAUACCUGACAAUAGAUUCCAUUGUCUUACUAACUAUAACUAUUAACUCAUACUAAAUCUCAUUCGAACAGCUUUUCUUUUUCUUUGUUCGUGCCUGAGCCUUCAGGUCGAUCGUACGUAACUGAAAACAUUUAAUUUAAGCAAGGAUGAGCAUUUGAGUGCCCAGCAAGUAAUAGCAAUUAUAUAUAUAAGCUGAAAGAAUAUAAGUAUUCUCUUUACAUAACACUUCAACAACGAAGCAAAAGUUGUGAAGUAAUCUGUACUGAUAAAAAUUCACAUAACAACUCUCUUUCAAAUUCUUGAAAUGAGGCUCCACCCAUGAAUAGGGUUUAAGAAACAUACUAUGAACAUGGUUUUUCAUUUUCGAAAAGGUUUAGCAGAAAUCCAUCCGCAAACCGCUCUAGCUUACGGGUACGGAGGGUGAUCAGCCCCGUUGUACCCUGUAUUGAUCAAUACUAAAUAACUUGAACGAAAUUCAUCGCUCAUCCUUUGUCCGCCGUAGCGCAUAAAAAUUUUCCCAUUAUCGGGAUGUUCAUACAUGCGAGGUUCUAAACCCGAAGGUUUUUAAUCUUGCUCAACAAUAAUAUGUAAUUCAACAUAUAUGUAUACGGGUAAUUGAAAAAAGUGUAUCAAUAUGUGAAUAAAUGCCAUGAUUAUCCAAGUGGGGACACUUGGAUAACCAUUUAGAAAUCAAUGAACAGAAUAUAUAUCUGAGCUAACAUGUUGAUAAUCAAAGCGUACAUAAUCUGUACAGGAAUAGAAAAGAAUUCUGAAACUUCUUACUCAUGUCCAUUGCAUAAAGAAAAUGCAAAGGUAGGAUACUUGCCUGAUUUGCUGAUUACAAAUCUCAACUUAGGUUUUAUCUCUUUAUCACAACCUAUCAAUAAGCAGGUCAUUCAUUCGAUUAGAACAAUAUAUCAUAACACAUAGUACUGUCAAUUACGGUCAGCACAUAGUCUAAUCACGUCAUCACAUAAUCGCACUGAUCAUAAUUUUAGUUCCUAUUCUAUACAUUUUUCAAAUAUCUCAUCCAUGCUCUUACAGAAGCCUUUUCUUUCUAUUAUAGGGUCUGACAUUUGUCGGCGUUCCGACAGCUUUAUCGGGUAAUUACUGAGUCUAAGACUCUUAUUCUAUACCUCAACAUCUGUAAAUAUCAGACAUUUUACUUUUAAUCAUUUUUGAAUUUUCCAGAAAUAGAAAAUUUUCAAAUAAUUCAAAUCUAUCACUAACGGGCCUAUCGUGACAUAACUGUUACUAUAGGUGCUCUUCAUCAAAUCCUGGACUUCAUAACCGGUUCUCAAGUCAGCUAGUUUGACCGGAUAUAACUUUCAAACAUCGGAAUCAUAAUUAAAUGAUUUAAACAUUAAACAAUUCCAUUAUCAUUAAUAAUUAAUUUAUAUUAAACUAUUAAUGAAACCAUUGCCAAAAUAUAAAAGUUAUUUAUAAUAACUCAAACUAUUUUUAAAACAUUUAUAUUACCCUUAAAUGAUUUUUAAAACAAUUAAAAUCAUUUUUAAAUAAUCACCAUUAAUAUAUAAAUAUUAAUGUACUAUUCAUCCAAAUAUUAAAAGUCAUUAAUUAUAACUUAAAAUAUUUUUAAAUCCUUAAUAUCCUCUUUAAAUGAUUUUUAAAUAAAUAAAACCAUUUUUAAACUAUUUAUUUAAUAAUAAUUAUUAAAUAAACUAAAUAUCAUUAAUAUUAUCUUAAUAUCAUUAAUAUUAAAUUAUUAAUGAAAUUAUCCUUUAAAUAUUAAAAGUUAUAUUUUAUAACUUAAAAUAUUUUUAAAUACCUUAAUUUCAUUUAAAAUGAUUUUUAUAAUAUUAAAAUCAUUUUUAAACUAAAUUAUUUAAUAUAAUCAUUAAAUAACUUUAAUAUCAUUAAUAUAUAAUUAAUUAAUGAAAUUCAUCACAAAAUAUUAAAAGUCAUGGAAAAUAACUUAAAAUAUUUUCUUAUACCAUAAAAUAAUUUUUCAUGAUUUUUCAUGAAUUAAAACUAUUUUUAAAUCAUUUAUUUAAUAUUAUAAUUAAAUAAAUAAAUACCUUUUAUAUUCCAAAAAUAUUAAAUAUUUAUGAAAUAUACUCAAAAUAAUUAAAAACUAUUUUUCGGACUUUAAAAUAAUUUUUCAUAAUUUAUUUGGUAUUUUUAAUAAUUAAAAUCUAAUUUUUCUAAUUUUUAAAUUAUUUUCAGAAAUUACAGAAAAUAAAAUAAAUAAAAUCCGUCGCUAAAGGCUAUAGCGACAGACAACCGUCGCUAUAGGUGUUCUUCAUCUCAAGAACACAGUUAGAGACAGUUCAAGGGGGCUAUUUUGACCAUGAAUAACUUUUUCCUCUUAAUGAAUUUGGACAAUCUAUAAAGUGGGUCUUGUAGAGGAAAUACCAGACUACAAUUACCAACAAUCAUAACUUCUAAACAACAUCAAAUCUGAGAGAAAUCGUACCUCAAAGUAGCUGUCAGAGCUGUUCUUCGUGAAGAACAGUUCGUGAUGCCUACUUUGGACCUCUAUAACUUGAUGAUCGUGUAACGUUUAUGUGAUCUAUCAAUUCCAGUGUGUAGACAACAUGUAGGACUACAACUACAAACCUUAACAUCAUCAUAACAACAAUAAAUCAAGCAUCUAAAGUAUGGUCAAACCUUAUCAAAAAAACAACACUUAGAAAAUUCUGGGCUGCCCAGAAUUUUCCAGUCAAUGCCGGUCAACCCACUUUGACCUUAAAUAACUCUUAAUCUAUAAUAUAUAUGGACCUGAUUCUUUUUGGAGGUUAAAUACCACAUAACAAGAUACACAUAACAACCUUUAGAACACAAAACAAAUUAAAGAUAACCGAGAUAUAAGGCCUGACAUUUUCCAAAAAAAUAUUUUCUGGACACUUAGAAUAUUUUCUGGGUUUGAAGAACAGCCGGUCAAUGCCGGUCAACCCACUUUGAUCGCUUAUAAAUCCCGAUCUACAAUAGCUAUGAACUUGAUUCCUUUUGGAGAUUAAAGACCACAUAUCAGGCUACAUAUAAAAACUUUUAAACAACAAAACUCAUGAUCGACCAAAGAGUUAUAGCCUCUGACAUUUGGUGAAAAAUCACAGAAUUCGGUUUUUCCAACUUACUCAAAUCUUCAAAUUCGUGCACUUUGAUGUUAUGGGUCUGUGAUUUUACAACCCAGAACAUUAAUAGACUCCUUAUUACACAACUUUAAACAAUCAAUUGCAUCAAUUAACAUCGAAUCAAAGGAUUUCUAAUUUUUGGGAUUUCAUACCUUUUCUUACUUUGAUUUCUUGAUUUUUGACUUUGAUGCUUCUGAUUUGUGGUUUGUGAUGGUUGGUCUUUGAUUAUGAGCUUAUGGGUAAGAUAAUUUCGUUGGUUAGAACUUGAGAGAGUGUGGCUAGGUGUUUGCUAUAAUUUUAGUGUGUAAUUUCAUUUAAUCUCCUUGAUUUCUAUUUAUA
rnacentral:lncRNA from 1 species